ACCAUCCUGCUUCUUCAAUUUGACGAGAACUGGUCCAAAUGGGAGGUCAAGGGAAAAAAAAACGAAACAAACAAAUGGAGGGCACUGCGCAGUACUCCCAGGAGAUGGCGCCCUUGCUCAGAGUGUAGCACCACGGCAUCUUGUCGCCAUCAGGAUUCCUGCACAUACCGAGGGGAGAAGAAUGGCCAGAAAUCUGAGGUGACAGUGACACUUUUGGAAGCGGUGGUAUGAGGUUAUCAUGGCGCCCAGUGGCAGCGGGAAGAAUCAACGCGCCGACAGCACGGCAGCCGUUUUUUUUUACACACGGUAGUCAGGUCAGAGCAAUUGUUGGGGUUGGUGUCUUUUGUGUUUGAAUUGAUGUCAUUUGUGGUUUUGGAGGUGCUUGUUCAAGGACCAUAAAAAGUAAUGUUGUUGGGAUUUUUUUUAAUCCGCAUCAAAAAUAUGUUUAGGGACACAUAAAGCCGUUUAUGAUUAAAAUGUUUAAAAAUAAUGUUAGAAUGGCUUACAAUUAUAUCAAAUAUACUUUUUGGGAAAUAAUACCACUAUAUUAUUUUUGUUGAGCACAUUAAGUAUACGACACCACUGUAUUAAAAAGUUUCUGAUGAUGGGGGCACUUGGACAGCCAAGUAUUUUUGUUGUGGUGACACUUGUUGGUGUAAAAAAAUUUGACAACCACUGGCUCAUACUAAUGCCGAACUAGGACAUGCUUUGCGAUCCUCUGUUCAUUUAGAAUGAGAAUCAGAGGUCAGCCAAAAAUUUGGAGGGCAAAUGUGAACAAAAAAACCCGGAUUUGCAGAUUUACUCUAGCAAAUCAUGCAUGAUUUGGAAUGUUGGCUUCAUUUUAUUUCUGUUUUAGAAGUACUCCUCAAUGGAUGAGUCCUCUGUGUUUUAUUUUGCUUUUAAAAACAGUUGACUUCUCUUCUUUUGCUUUGUUUUUCCUCCAUUCUGCCUUGUGAUGUUCUGCUUUUGAAAACGGUCAACUUAUGUUAUUCUUUAAUUUGCUUUUUCUUUGGCAAAAACUCGAGCCACCAUUCAGCCAAAUUUUCUGCAUGUUAUUUCAUCACAUUGUUGAGUGUUUUGCUUCUUUGGCUUUACUGUGUUCUGUUGUUCUUGUUUUCAGUGGUUUACUUGUUUUAACACAUGCAUGCCAGUUGAAAAUGUUAAAAUGUUACUUUUUGGUUUUUACUUUUCAUUUCCAUUUAUUUCCUGUGUGGAAGAAUGUUGAAUUGGAAUCUGAGAGACAAGAAAAGAAAGAUGCACGAGUAUCGGCUGAAAGUCAAAUCCAGCACCACACCAUCCCGAUCACCCGCUACAAUAAACCGCAACUGAAGAAGAUGGCAUCCAAUCGAGCCUUUGCAAACAAUCCACAAUGCGACACCCCCAAAAAAAGUCACCACCACCUACGCCACAGAGCUUGAAAAAGACGAGCGAUAGAAGGCGAGUGAGCACACAUCAUUACUCACACCCCGGUGCCUUCAAGAAGCGCAUGCAGCAACACCAAAAGGAGCAGAUAAAGACGACGCCAGCAGGCAAAGAACAGAGAAUGCAUGCGGAGGCGGAUCAAAGAAGAAAAAAAAAACAGUAUCACAUCCGAUUGGAGCUUUUAUUCCAUGGACUAAAUGACAGAUACACAAUUGAUUGGCAGAUCCAACAAGAGAUACAGAAUCACAACCGUCAGCUGCACCAUUUCCCCGACACGCUCGUCACGUCACUCCCGACGGCGCUUCCUGACAACAUGGAAAAUAAAUUUGGAAAAUAGUGUCCGCUGUGCUAUUUUGGAACGUUAUCCCGCAGCAGUGUUAGCGAUUUCCACAGUGUCUUCUUUUAACAAGAGACUGUGAGCAGCACAUCCUCCAUAUGUGUUGCUCACACGCUGCAUUGGGAUGGCCUUCCGCUCAAGUCGGUGCACAGUAACGAGCAGUGGUGGGAGGACGUCAAACGUCAUAUACUUCAUAUUUGCACGUUAGCCACUUUGCACUUCGUAUUUGUUCAGCUUUACCCAAACAAGAUGAUUUUGGAGAUGAUCACUGAUUUGCAAGUUUAUUU